GACCCCGUAGCUCAAUCGGAUAGAGCACCGGCCUUCUAAGCCGGACGUUGUGGGUUCGAGUCCCCCCGGGGUCGCCU
rnacentral:tRNA from 1 species